rnacentral:rRNA from 1 species
AUUAGUUAUAUCAUCCAACCUUGUCAAUGCCUGAUCUCUCUUUGAUCUCGAAAGCCAAGCAGGGUUGGACCUGGUAAGUACUUGAAUGGAUAACCACUGGGAAUAUAGGAUGGCAGGUC